ensembl:misc_RNA Y_RNA Y RNA
GGCUGGUCUGAGUGCAGCAGUGUUUACAAUUAAUUGAUCACAACCAGUUACAAAUGACUUUGUUCCUUCUCUACUCCCACUGCUUCACUUGACUGGUCUUAA